AGUGAACGCUGGCGGUAGGCCUAACACAUGCAAGUCGAACGGCAGCACAGUAAGAGCUUGCUCUUACGGGUGGCGAGUGGCGGACGGGUGAGGAAUACAUCGGAAUCUACUUUUUCGUGGGGGAUAACGUAGGGAAACUUACGCUAAUACCGCAUACGACCUACGGGUGAAAGCAGGGGAUCUUCGGACCUUGCGCGAUUGAAUGAGCCGAUGUCGGAUUAGCUAGUUGGCGGGGUAAAGGCCCACCAAGGCGACGAUCCGUAGCUGGUAUGAGAGGAUGAUCAGCCACACUGGAACUGAGACACGGUCCAGACUCCUAAGGGAGGCAGCAGUGGGGAAUAUUGGACAAUGGGCGGAAGCCUGAACCAGCCAUACCGCGUGGGUGAAGAAGGCCUUCGGGUUGUAAAGCCCUUUUGUUGGGAAAGAAAAGCAGCAGGUUAAUACCCCGCUGUUCUGACGGUACCCAAAGAAUAAGCACCGGCUAACUUCGUG
rnacentral:rRNA from 1 species